UAAAAGCUUGGUCCUGACUUUACUAUCAGCUUUAGCAACACUUACACAUGCAAGUAUCCGCACCCCGGUGAAUACGUCCCCGCCUUCCUCUAUGAAGGCUAGGAACUGGUAUCAGGCACGCAAAUCAGCAGCCCACGACACCUUGCUCAGCCACACCCCCAAGGGAUUUCAGCAGUGAUAAACAUUAAGCAAUAAGUGAAAACUUGACUUAGUCUAAGGCUAAAAGAGCCGGUCAAAUUCGUGCCAGCCACCGCGGUUAUACGAAAGGCUCAAGUUGAUAAUCUUCGGCGUAAAGAGUGGUUAAAAGACAUCUUAAACUAAGGCUGAACCACCCCAAAGCUGUCAUACGCUACUGGGAGUGUGAAAUACAACCACGAAGGUGGCCUUAAAUAAUCUUGACCCCACGAAAGCUGUGAAACAAACUGGGAUUAGAUACCCCACUAUGCACCGCCGUAAACCUUGAUAGAAAACCACAACCCCUAUCCGCCCGGGGACUACGAGCAUAAGCUUAAAACCCAAAGGACUUGGCGGUGCUUUAGACCCCCCUAGAGGAGCCUGUUCUAGAACCGAUAACCCCCGUUCGACCUCACCUUUUCUUGUUCAUUCCGUCUAUAUACCGCCGUCGUCAGCAUACCCUGUGAAGGAAACAUAGUAAGCAAAACUGGUAAAACCCAAAACGCCAGGUCGAGGUGUAGCACACGAAAAGGAAAGAAAUGGGCUACAUUUCCUAAUUUAGGAAAAACGAAUUGUGUUAUGAAACAGCACAUGAAGGAGGAUUUAGCAGUAAGAAGAAAACAGAGUGUUCUACUGAACCCGGCCCUGAAGCACGCACACACCGCCCGUCACCCUCCCCAAAUCAAAAUACAUCUUUAUUUAAAAAUUUACCAGAGCCAAAGGGGAGGUAAGUCGUAACAUGGUAAGUGUACCGGAAGGUGCACUUGGAAUAAA
ensembl:Mt_rRNA